rnacentral:lncRNA from 1 species
GAGCAAUACAGUUGUCUAGAACCAUAUCGGCUCAGCUUUCUUGUUUUCAGAAGUUCAACAAGUGAAGAAAAUUAUGAUGAUGUUGAUAUGCAAUCCAAUGAUUAUGGAAAUCCAGAUGAGGAUCAAGACAGCAAUGGAGAAACAUACGAAGACAUGUG